CUCAGGAUGAACGCUGGCGGCGUGCUUAACACGAUGCAAGUCGAACGAAGAUGCCGGAGUGCUUGCACUUUGGCAGACUGAGUGGCGGACGGGUGAGUAACGCGUGGGGUAACCUGCCUUAUACAGGGGGAUAACAGUUGGAAACGACUGCUAAUACCGCAUAAGUCGCACGGUAUCGCAUGAUAGAGUGUGAAAAACUCCGGUGGUAUAAGAUGGACCCGCGUCUGAUUAGCUUGUUGGUGAGGUAACGGCCCACCAAGGGCGACGAUCAGUAGCCGGCCCUGAGAGGGGUGAACGGCCACAUUGGGACUGAGACACGGCCCAAACUCCUACGGGAGGCAGCAGUGGGGAAUAUUGCACAAUGGGGGAAACCCUGAUGCAGCGACGCCGCGUGAGUGAUGAAGUAUUUCGGUAUGUAAAACUCUAUCAGCAGGGAAGAUAAUGACGGUACCUGACUAAGAAGCACCGGCUAAAUACGUG
rnacentral:rRNA from 1 species